UACGGAGGGUGCUAGCGUUGUUCGGAAUCACUGGGCGUAAAGGGCGUGUAGGCGGUCUGUUAAGUCUGGUGUGAAAUCCCCCCGCUCAACGGGGGAACGGCGCCGGAUACUGGCAGACUUGAGUACCGGAGAGGAAGGUGGAAUUCCCGGUGUAGCGGUGAAAUGCGUAGAUAUCGGAAGGAACACCAGUGGCGAAGGCGGCUUCCUGGACUAAUACUGACGCUGAGGUGCGAAAGCGUGGGGAGCAAACAGG
rnacentral:rRNA from 1 species